rnacentral:rRNA from 1 species
AUUGAACGCUGGCGGCAGGCCUAACACAUGCACGUCGAGCGAGCGGCAGACGGGUGAGUAAUGUCUGGGAAACAGCCUGAUGGAGGGGGAUAACUACGGGAAACGGGAGCUAAUACAGCAUACCAUCAACUGUGCACAGAUGGGAUUAGCUAGUAGGUGGGGUAAUGGCUCACCAAGGCUACGAUCCCUAGCUGGUCUGAGAGGUUGACCAGCCACACUGGAACGGAGCCACGGUCCAGACUCCUACGUGAGGCAGCAGUGGGGAAUAUUGCACAAUGGGCGCAAGCCUGAUGCAGCCAUGCCGCGUGUGUGAAGAAGGCCUUCGGGUUGUAAAGCACUUUCAGCGAGGAGGCUUUACUCGCAGAAGAAGCACCGGCUAACUCCGUGCCAGCAGCCGCGGUAAUUC